rnacentral:rRNA from 1 species
AUUGAACGCUGGCGGCUUGCUUUACACAUGCAAGUCGGACGGCAGCGCGGGCUUCGGCCUGGAGGCGAGUGUCGCACGGGUGAGUAAUACAUCGGAACGAGCCCCGUCGUGGGGGAUAGCAUGGUGAAAGCCGGAUUAAUACUGCAUACGACCUGCGGGUGAAAGAGGGGGACUUUAGGGCCGCGCGCUCUUUGAGCGGCCGAUGGCAGAUUGGCUAGUUGGUGGGGUCAAUGGCGACCAAGGCGAGGAUUCGUAGGUGGUCGGAGAGGAAGACCAGCCGCACUGGGAGGGAGACACGCCCCAGGCUCCUACGGGAGGCAGCAGUAGGGAAUUUGGGACAAGGGGCGGGAGCCUUAUCCAGCAGUGCCAAGUGUGUGAUGAAGGCCUUCGGGGUGUAAAGCACUGUUGGCAGGAACGAAAAGUGCUGUGCUAAGACCACGGUAAAAUGACGGUACCUGCAGAAGAAGCACCGGCUAACUACGUG